rnacentral:rRNA from 1 species
GAUGAACGCUGGCGGCGUGCCUAAUACAUGCAAGUCGAGCGAACAGAUGAGGAGCUUGCUCCUCUGACGUUAGCGGCGGACGGGUGAGUAACACGUGGAUAACCUACCUAUAAGACUGGGAUAACUUCGGGAAACCGGAGCUAAUACCGGAUAAUAUAUUGAACCGCAUGGUUCAAUAGUGAAAGACGGUUUUGCUGUCACUUAUAGCUGGAUCCGCGCCGCAUUAGCUAGUUGGUAAGGUAACGGCUUACCAAGGCUACGAUGCGUAGCCGACCUGAGAGGGUGAUCGGCCACACUGGAACUGAGACACGGUCCAGACUCCUACGGGAGGCAGCAGUAGGGAAUCUUCCGCAAUGGGCGAAAGCCUGACGGAGCAACGCCGCGUGAGUGAUGAAGGUCUUCGGAUCGUAAAACUCUGUUAUUAGGGAAGAACAAAUGUGUAAGUAACUAUGCACGUCUUGACGGUACCUAAUCAGAAAGCCACGGCUAACUACGUG